rnacentral:rRNA from 1 species
AGCGAACGCUGGCGGCAGGCCUAACACAUGCAAGUCGAACGAACCUUUCGGGGUUAGUGGCGGACGGGUGAGUAACACGUGGGAACGUGCCUUUAGGUUCGGAAUAACUCAGGGAAACUUGUGCUAAUACCGAAUGUGCCCUUCGGGGGAAAGAUUUAUCGCCUUUAGAGCGGCCCGCGUCUGAUUAGCUAGUUGGUUGAGGUAAUGGCUCACCAAGGCGACGAUCAGUAGCUGGGCGGUGAGGAUGAUCAGCCACAUUGGGACUGAGACACGGCCCAAACUCCGACGGGAGGCAGCAGUGGGGAAUCUUGCGCAAGGGGCGAAAGCCUGACGCAGCCAUGCCGCGUGAAUGAUGAAGGUCUUAGGAUUGUAAAAUUCUUUCACCGGGGACGAUAAUGACGGUACCCGGAGAAGAAGCCCCGGCUAACUUCGUG